CAUGCAAGUCGGACGGCAGCACAGAGAAGCUUGCUUCUUGGGUGGCGAGUGGCGAACGGGUGAGUAACAUAUCGGAACGUACCAAGUAGUGGGGGAUAACUGAUCGAAAGAUCAGCUAAUACCGCAUACGUCUUGAGAGGGAAAGCAGGGGACCUUCGGGCCUUGCGCUAUUCGAGCGGCCGAUAUCUGAUUAGCUAGUUGGUGGGGUAAAGGCCUACCAAGGCGACGAUCAGUAGCGGGUCUGAGAGGAUGAUCCGCCACACUGGGACUGAGACACGGCCCAGACUCCUACGGGAGGCAGCAGUGGGGAAUUUUGGACAAUGGGCGCAAGCCUGAUCCAGCCAUGCCGCGUGUCUGAAGAAGGCCUUCGGGUUGUAAAGGACUUUUGUCAGGGAAGAAAAGGCUGUUGCUAAUAUCAGCGGCUGAUGACGGUACCUGAAGAAUAAGCACCGGCUAACUACGUGCCAGCAGCCGCGGUAAUACGUAGGGUGCGAGCGUUAAUCGGAAUUACUGGGCGUAAAGCGAGCGCAGACGGUUACUUAAGCAGGAUGUGAAAUCCCCGGGCUCAACCCGGGAACUGCGUUCUGAACUGGGUGACUAGAGUGUGUCAGAGGGAGGUAGAAUUCCACGUGUAGCAGUGAAAUGCGUAGAGAUGUGGAGGAAUACCGAUGGCGAAGGCAGCCUCCUGGGAUAACACUGACGUUCAUGCUCGAAAGCGUGGGUAGCAAACAGGAUUAGAUACCCUGGUAGUCCACGCCCUAAACGAUGUCAAUUAGCUGUUGGGCAACUUGAUUGUUCAGUAGCGUAGCUA
rnacentral:rRNA from 1 species